rnacentral:rRNA from 1 species
UACGUAGGGGGCAAGCGUUGUCCGGAUUUAUUGGGCGUAAAGAGCGUGUAGGCGGUUAGGUAGGUCCGUUGUGAAAACUCGAGGCUCAACCUCGAGACGCCGAUGGAAACCAUCUGACUAGAGUCCGGAAGAGGAGAGUGGAAUUCCCGGUGUAGCGGUGAAAUGCGCAGAUAUCGGGAGGAACACCGGUGGCGAAGGCGGUUCUCUGGGCCUUACCUGACGCUGAGGAGCGAAAGCGUGGGGAGCGAACAGG